UACAGAGGUCUCAAGCGUUGUUCGGAUUCAUUGGGCGUAAAGGGUGCGUAGGCGGCGCGGUAAGUCGGGUGUGAAAUCUUGGAGCUUAACUCCGAAACUGCAUUCGAUACUGCCGUGCUUGAGGACUGGAGAGGAGAAUGGAAUUCCCGGUGUAGCGGUGAAAUGCGCAGAUAUCGGGAAGAACGCCCGUGGCGAAGGCGGUUCUCUGGGACGGUACUGACGCUGAGACGCGAAAGCGUGGGGAGCGAACAGG
rnacentral:rRNA from 1 species